ACUCCUACGGGAGGCAGCAGUGGGGAAUAUUGCACAAUGGGGGAAACCCUGAUGCAGCCAUGCCGCGUGUGUGAAGAAGGCCUUCGGGUUGUAAAGCACUUUCAGUAGGGAGGAAGGUAGUGUAGUUAACACCUGCAUUAUUUGACGUUACCUACAGAAGAAGCACCGGCUAACUCCGUGCCAGCAGCCGCGGUAAUACGGAGGGUGCGAGCGUUAUCCGGAUUUAUUGGGUUUAAAGGGUCCGUAGGCGGGUUAAUAAGUCAGUGGUGAAAUCCCAUCGCUUAACGAUGGAACUGCCAUUGAUACUGUUAGUCUUGAAUGAGGGUGCAGUGGUUGGAAUGUGUAGUGUAGCGGUGAAAUGCAUAGAUAUUACACAGAACACCGAUUGCGAAGGCAGAUCACUAACCCUAAAUUGACGCUGAGGGACGAAAGCGUGGGGAGCGAACAGGAUUAGAUACCCUGUAGACUGUC
rnacentral:rRNA from 1 species